GCAGUCUUGCUUCCUCAGGCAUCUGCUAUUUUGUGGUGAAUAAGCAAAAAGCAGCAAUUCUGGCAUUUUAAUGUCAGUGCUAUCCUGACAUUCCCCAGGAGCCUGUGCCAGAGAGCAGGAAAUGCUGGAGGCAGGCUUGGGGCCUACACUAGUGCUUAAGGCCCCUUGGUGUCCACGGUAAAAAGGCGUAUUGGUGGUCACUAAGGGGAUGAUGAAGAUGUUGUGGCUGUGUCUGGUACUGUACUUCAAUAUCAAUCUAUAAUCAUGGCAUUUGCUUUUCAAUUCUCCUCAAAUUACACUGAAGAGAUUUGGACAGAGGAAAAUUUGCCUGGAUUUCAGGAAGUGGUUCUCCGCAGUACUGAUCAGCCAGAAGAUGGGAAGAUCUAUGUAAUGUACCACGGCACCACGUUCCCUGGAGCAAAAGGAAUUAUCAAAGCUGG